rnacentral:rRNA from 1 species
CGCCCGCGCGCGCGGCGGGCUACGGGAGGCAGCAGUGGGGAAUCUUCCGCAAUGGACGAAAGUCUGACGGAGCAACGCCGCGUGAGUGAAGAAGGUUAUCGGAUCGUAAAGCUCUGUUGUUUGAGACGAACGUGCAAUUUUGAAUAAGGAAUUGUAAUGACGGUAUUAAACGAGAAAGCUACGGCUAACUACGUGCCAGCAGCCGCGGUAAUA